GUUUUGAUUGCUCAAAUCUAAAACUAACUUUGAACAGUGUACUACGUUAAUUUAUCAUUGAGAUGUGCGUGUGUGUCACGUUUUAGCAUCGUUUCUUGUUCAUUACAAUGCCGGGGGUUCUUGGCUUUUUUGUCAUUACAUGUUUGAUAUGGACAGUAUCCAGCUGGUUAAGGUCAGGAGUUGAAAAACGCUUAAAUUUAGAAACGGGGAAAAACAAUUAAGGUUAGCUUUAGGAAAAUGUGUUUUGUUUGGUUUAUUUGGCAUGAUAUUACUGCAUCUUUAAACAAGCACAAGACAAAUGUAUGUCAAAUCAAAUGUAUGUAUGUUUUUUUUUUCCCAAGCAUUGAUGCAUCUCGAGAAGACAGAAGCCUUGGUAGACUUGUCAAUGAUGACCACCUUCAUCCAGACUGUAAAAUGAAAAGGAUGACGUCUGAAAUGAAACCACAUAUAUGUCUCUUUGCUUUGAGGGACAUACAUGCUGGAGAGGAAAUACCAUACACCUACAGAGGAACUAAUUGGCCAUGGAGGAAAAAGGAUGGAGCAGAGCCCCAACUUUCCACUGAGUUUCCUGAGACCGCCAUGUACACGAACCAAGACAAAGACUCAACGCGCUCCCAAAGCAUUUCCCAGGAUGCAGCAGAGCCCCAACUUUCCACUGAGUUUCCUGAGACCGCCAUGUUCACGAACCAAGACAAAGACUCAACGCGCUCCCAAAGCAUUUCCCAGGAUGCAGCAGAGCCCCAACUUUCCACUGAGUUUCCUGAGACCGCCAUGUUCACGAACCAAGACAAAGACUCAACGCGCUCCCAAAGCAUUUCCCAGGAUGGAGCAGAGCCCCAACUUUCCACUGAGUUUCCUGAGACCGCCAUGUUCACGAACCAAGACAAAGACUCAACGCGCUCCCAAAGCAUUUCCCAGGUAACUUAAUUUAUUUCACAGUGGGUCAUAUUACUGUCUAUUGAAAUGCUUG
rnacentral:lncRNA from 1 species